UACGGAGGAUGCAAGCGUUAUCCGGGUUUAUUGGGUUUAAAGGGUGCGCAGGUUGUUUGAUAAGUCAGUGGUGAAAGUCUGUCGCUUAACGGUAGGAUUGCCAUUGAUACUGUUGGACUUGAAUAUGGAUGAGGUAGGCGGAAUGUGUAGUGUAGCGGUGAAAUGCAUAGAUAUUACACAGAACACCGAUUGCGAAGGCAGCUUACUAAUCCAUCAUUGACGCUGAGGCACGAAAGCGUGGGGAUCAAACAGGAUUA
rnacentral:rRNA from 1 species